AGGAUAAACGCUGGCGGCGUGCCUAACACAUGCAAGUCGAACGUCUCUUUCUUCGGGAAGAGGAGUGGCGGACGGGUGAGGAACACGUGGGAACCUGCCCUUUAGUGAGGAAUACCGGCGAGAAAUCGCCGACAAGACCGCAUAGCCCUCUUUGAUGAGAGUCAAAGAAGGAAAGCUUCGCAAGAGGCGCUAGAGGAGGGGCCUGCGUCCGAUUAGCUAGUUGGUGGGGUAAGAGCCUACCAAGGCGUCGAUCGGUAGCUGGUCUGAGAGGACGAUCAGCCACACUGGGAUUGAGAACGGCCCAGACUCCUACGGGGGCAGCAGUGAGGAAUUUUCGGCAAUGGGGGAAACCCUGACCGAGCAACGCCGCGUGCAGGAAGACGGCCUUCGGUUGUAAACUGCUUUUCUUGGGACGAGGAAGGACGGUACCAGAGGAAUCAGCCCGGCUCACUACGUGCCAGCAGCCGC
rnacentral:rRNA from 1 species